GAUGAACGCUGGCGGCGUGCCUAAUACAUGCAAGUCGAGCGAACAGACGAGGAGCUUGCUCCUCUGAUGUUAGCGGCGGACGGGUGAGUAACACGUGGAUAACCUACCUAUAAGACUGGGAUAACUUCGGGAAACCGGAGCUAAUACCGGAUAAUAUAUUGAACCGCAUGGUUCAAUAGUGAAAGACGGUUUUGCUGUCACUUAUAGAUGGAUCCGCGCCGCAUUAGCUAGUUGGUAAGGUAACGGCUUACCAAGGCAACGAUGCGUAGCCGACCUGAGAGGGUGAUCGGCCACACUGGAACUGAGACACGGUCCAGACUCCUACGGGAGGCAGCAGUAGGGAAUCUUCCGCAAUGGGUGAAAGCCUGACGGAACAACGCCGCGUGAGUGAUGAAGGUCUUCGGAUCGUAAAACUCUGUUAUUAGGGAAGAACAAAUGUGUAAGUAACUAUGCACGUCUUGACGGUACCUAAUCAGAAAGCCACGGCUAACUACGUG
rnacentral:rRNA from 1 species